AGACCUAGAGGAGGGCAUGGGCAGAAGCUGGGCAACCCUGGAGCUGUUUUUUCUUUCCCUGCUUGGGAAACUCCUCUCGAAGUCCAGCCUCACGACUCUCAUGAGCACUCUCAGCGCUUUGGGACUUGUCCUGAGACGUGGCAAGAUCGUCCCGGCUGGCCUUGGAAGUCAUCUCUGAGUCAGCUCUCACUGACCAGCAUAUUCAGGCCGCCUCCCCUCAGCUCCCUGCUCCUGCUCUUUCAUGCUCAGAACUCAUGUUCCAGAUGGACUCAGCUGGCAAGUGUUUGAGACGUGUCUCAGCAUCUUGUGAUGUGUUCCUGGAUCUCUGGGCCCCUGUGUGGGGAGGAUUUUGUUUGCUGGCAAAGAUCUUAAGGCCAGAGAGUUCAAAGCCAGGAUCCGUGUUUGCAGGACUGUGGAGAAGGAGCCGUGAGACUGAUGAACUGGUGAGAGGUCCUAGGAGAGAAGGCGCUGGGAAGCCGAACUCGCCAGGGAGGGCGCCUCCCCCAGAGGAAGGCAGCGGAUGUGGGGACGCGAGGAACCUUCUGCUGCACAGCGAGUGA
ensembl:lncRNA